rfam:Burkholderia sp. OLGA172 plasmid pOLGA3, complete sequence.
UGUCUCCUCCAUGUCUCAACAUGGAUUAAGCCCGCCCACUGAGGUGGGCUUUUUUUC